rnacentral:rRNA from 1 species
AUGACGAAGGAGGAAGAGUUGUGUCAGGCCCAGCUCAAGCUAGAUGAAGAAGAGGAGGCCAGAAAGAGAGAAUCAGCAAGGCAGAAGCCUUUUGAUCUCAAGGCACGAUUCUGCGGGUUGAGGAGCGAGGAGCUGGGCAAGGAGUCACUGCCGGUUCACAUGACCAAGAAGGGGAAGAGCACUACCACUUUUUCAGAAUUUGAUUUUGUGAACCUUCAUGUUGCACUAUCACAUAUUGCACAUGAGUUGAUUCAGGUUUCCAGAGUUCAGACCACAACAAUCAAUCGGUCUGAAGGUGCUCCUGUUUUAUAUCAGAUCGUGAGGAAUGGGGACCCUUUUUGGAUAUUUGACUACUAUAUUUGCAUGCCGGAGUUCGCCGCCGUCUGCCGUGCUGUGAUUUUUGGGUAUGAUGCUAGAUUACGUGGUUGCAUAGUUCCUUCUUUUUCUUCUUCAAAUUCAAUAUUCUUGGGUCAUGGUGUGCUCAUGCUGAUUUGCAGCCCGGAUGAUAGUCCGUGGGAGGGAGAUUUAUUAUAUGGGUUGCUACGUGACUUGGCUCGUCCGAAUCAGGUGUACGCGAGGACGAGAACCCCACCUAAGCCCUCGCUCGCUCGCCGGAAUCUAGGGCGGCCGCGGCGGCCGGGAGCAGACGCGCGCGGGAGGAGUAGUUCGGGUCCGCGCCGCAACCCUUUGCCUCGGCCACCACCGCCGUCCGCGCCGCCGCCCUUUGUCGUCGCCACCACCGCCGUCCUCGCCGCAUCCACCACCAUCGUCCAAACUUCUCUCGGCCGUUGCCGGGGAUCCGGCCGCGCAACAAAUCCAUCGCAAAGGAUCUCAAGGCCUGCCGCCCUGCCCGGCGCACCCAUCCAGAGGCACAUGUUCUCCACAGAUCCAUUGGAUCCCUUGCCGCCUCUCAUCCUCCUUUUUCAUCGUGGCUUGCCCUGGAUGCUAGAUUCUGCAAUUCCUCACCUGCACGGAAGGCUUUUUCCUAAAGGGAUUGAGAUUACCAGGAUUCAGAUUGGAUCCCUGCUGUGUCAGUGCGGAGAACUGCUCGAACACCUUCCAAUCUCGCCAACUUCGCUGGAGAAUCGUGCGCCCGUGCUCGAGCAGAGUUUUGGCGGCCUUCUGUGUGAGGUAGACUUGACUGAUGAGGGCUUGAAAAGGGGCCUUGGUUGUCUGUCAACUGAAAACUCUGUUUGUGCACAACCUAUAUCCUCUAUGAGAAGGAACUGGAUGGAGCAAGAGAUGACUGUCAACUCAGUGCAAUGGUUAGAGCAAAGUAAGGUAUGCAAAGAAGUUGGAUUUGCGACAAUAUCACAUGAAUCCUUCUUCAGGUUAUUUCCAAAUGUCCAGUUUUAUGAGAGGAAGAUUAGCAUGGCGGCCAAGUUGAAGGUGCACUUCCACGCCGGCGGCCCGAUCUCGACGGCAAUCCGACGCAGGCGGCGUCCACCAACAGCUCCUCCUCCAAGGACGAGGUGCCAUGGGCAGGGGUAUAAUUCCGCGAAAUGCAAUGUGGAGUUGUCUGUUGAUCCCUCCUGGACUAGACCCAUAUACUUUGAUAACAGUGUUGUUCUCUGUACGUUGGAAUUGGGCCAGUUCAUCUCCCUGUUCAAUUGA